UAAGAAAAGAAAACCCUUCUUUCCCUUUAACCCUAACUUCUCCACAAUCCUCCUCAACGAUCUAUCUGAUCCAUCUUCUACCCCCAUAGACACCACAGCACCUCCUUCAUCGUACCUUCACCACCCUGAACUGCCUACGUCGCCCACACACCCCGCCGCCGCUCGUCCUCCACCGGUUCGCCCUUCUCUACCGCCUUCUCCGCUGCUCCCGUCGCCGGUCGACCACCGCCCUCAACCUCCCUCUCCGUCCUGACCCCCCUCCAUCUCUCGCUGCUUCCGAUCUCCACCGCACAACCUCACCAAUCAGCAGUCUCCCCGAACCCAUCUUCAACCGCCGCCUGUCUCCACCACCAUCACAAAGACGGCACCACCAUCGCCGAUUACCGCCCAUCGCUCGUUGCUCAUCAUAUUCGCCGCUCACCAAACAACAACCAGCAUCGUCGCACCAGGUAUCUCCUACGUCGACCAACACAUCAGGUACGUCUCUCUCAGUAUUGGACAAGCUAUACUUUCCACAUGGGCAUUCAACAGAUUAUGAGGCUACUAGUGAUACUGGGAAAACUUCGUAUGACAUUGAUCUGCCGCCUUAGUAGAUUCCUUACACACUCAUCUCCGAGCCUCGAGGACGAUGCUAUAUCUUAAGCUUGGGGAGGUUGAGAUUAGAGGUAAUUUUUAUGUUUUCAUCUUAGCAUGCAUCACUUAGUUUGUAAAUAGUUGCAUAUAGUUGCAUUUUUCAUGUUCAUUGCAUUUAGGUUGCAUAUAGAUGCAUUAAAAAAAACCCGUUUCUGUUCCGCUGAAAAUGAUUUGUGAAAAAAUGAGAUAUGAUAUGAUUUCUGGCAUGUCAAAGCUUAUGCGCGAAAUGGUAACUUUGGGGAAGAAAACAUAGAUAAUUCGGGAUAUGUUGAUAGGCUCGGCCCUAGCUUAGGAACGCCAAUGUUGGAUGCAAUAACCUUAAUUAUAUAUAUGUGUUUUGUUUCCCAUCUUAAUGCUUGUGGUUAAAGAUUGAUCCCGACCAAAAAUCGGUUGAGUUGCAUAUCCUCUAUCACACACCAUGUUCCCCAUAUCAUGACACCUCCGUAAUUUCAUUGAAAAAAUAAAUAAAGAGGUGAAAAAUUGACCUCAAAGAGGUGAAAAAUUGACCUCAUAGGUUAUUAUAGUAAAAAAAAAAAAGAAAAAAAAGAGAAAAAGGAAGGGGUAAAAGAGCACAAUGUAUGCCAAAAAUUUGAAAGAAAAAAAUCGAAAUCGAAAAAAAAAAUAUUUGAGCAAUUUAGGGAGAAAAGUCCCGACCCCUUGAAAAACGGAAAAAGAUAAUAACUAUUGUGUCAUGGUUUGGGUGCAUGGUCGCAUCAAGUGUGGUUUUGGAAAUCUUCAAAAAGUCGUGAGGUUGGGUAGAUGUUGCCAUAGGUGUUGGGCGUGGGGACGAUUGAACCAUGUUGGUAAAUUUGUAUAUUAUUAAGCAGAAAGCAUUUGGUUGUGAUUAAGCGGGUUUGAGUUUAAAGGGACACAGAAUAUCAACAAUCGCGGUUACACGUGUUAGUAUGACCCGGGUUUGAAUGAAUGUAAUAAGAGUUGACAAUGUUGGAUGUGAUCUCAUUACAAGUUUGUUUUCCGGAAUAAAAGAAGCAGGUUGAAAAAAAAAAUAUUUUUAUAAAGCAUGCAUAUGUGUAUUAUUUUUUUUCGUGUUUAUUUCUUGGUUUAUUCUUGUUCUUGACUUCCUUGAGGACAAGGAAAGGUUUAAGCUUGGGGAGAUUUGUUAGUUGCAUUUUUUGGCACGUUUUAUAGCAUAUUAACAUUAAAAAUUCACCACAUAUCAUGCAUAUUUCAUAGUCAUACCUCGUUAUUUUGCGAAACGCUUGUUUUUGUGGAAUGGAAUCUACGUUGGUUGUUUUUGGUUGAUAUUGAAGGUGAGGAGCGAUUGCGAAGGACGAAAGCAUUGGAAAGAAUUGGAGUACGUCGAAAUACCAAUUCAUAAGCUAGUGAACAAAGUGAGCUGGAUGUGUGACUAAGCUAAAUUGUGACAUCACAAGAAGUGAAGUUGGGCCAAAAUACUAAUUGUCAUGAGAUCAUCUUUUUAUUUGGAGUGUAUUUGUUGGGCUAAAAAAUACGGGCUGUCAACAAGCACAAGAAAAAAAAAAUAGAAGCAGCCAAACAAGUGAUAGAUUUUGGGGGUGAGCCAAUUAAAAGUAGAAUGAUCAUCAACAACAAACUAAUAGAAAAAAAAGGGGAAACAGUGUUGGACGGUUGCAAGUGGACAAAAAGGAAAAAAAGAUCAAUUUUUUGAGGGCAUUCGAGAUCAAGGAAAAAAAAAAGAAAGAAAAGAGACUUUUCUUUGUUUGUCUUUGGUGAUUUCGAGAACAACAAACUAUUUUGGUUGUUUGUUUUGUAAGUUUCUUUUGAUGUUUUGUUUUGAAUUAAACUUGAUUGUUCUAGCUAUCAUGUCUCGCUAGAUCUUUUUAGUUUCGACAUCGGGGUUUAUUUUCUUUGAUUUGGUUCAUAAAUUUAUCUGAAACGGUUAUGUUAGAUU